rnacentral:lncRNA from 1 species
CCGUUGUAUUAAAACACACCUCGAUGUUGAUUUGACCUACAUGUUCAACACUAUUAGUGAAAGAGUUAGUUACACAAGUUAGUUACACUGUUGGUGCAAGUUUGUUACAAUGUACAGUGCAACGCACGUGUAGUCUAGUUGGUUAGUUAGGUAACUUAAUUAGAUGAGUUAGUUAGCUUGAAUGAUAGGUCCCUCUAUAAAUAGAGGUGUAAAUAGUGUGUGAAGGUUGGAUCAUUGUGAUAAAAUAAAGUGGGUUCAUAUUCAUUCUUCUUCUUCUUCUCUUCUUCUCUGAGCUAAACUCUGCUCCAUUGAUCAUCAUUGUUGAUCCUCAACAUGGUAUCAGAGCCCGCGAUCAAUGUCUGAAUGUGUACAUACUGGUCCACUGCGCAUAAUCAUCUCUGUUGAUUAAGUGCAACUGAGUGGUCACAGAACGAGUGCACUGAUCAAAACAGCAGAGGAGCUAGGGUUUACAGUUUCUGAGUAGAGAUUCAAUUCGUGAUACACUUGUGUGCUAGAGUGGGAAAAUUUCUCGAAUACACAACAAUGGCAACAGCUGGAGAUCCACACAUGAGCAAUACAGCUAGCUCAGGUGGGGGACAAACAGUUAUCGAUGCCAAUCAUCCUCUGCAUCUUCAUGCUGGUGACACUCCACGUAGCUCUCUAGUCUCCAUUCACUUAACAGGCUCUGAGAAUUACGCGUUAUGGAGUAGGUCAAUGAAGAUAGGAUUGUUAGGUAAAGGGAAAAGUGCAAUGCUAUAGUACUCUCCUGGAUCAUAAUCUCAGUUAGUAGGGAGUUACUAAGUCGUAUGGUAUAUGCGAGUAAUGCUCAACAAGUAUGGAAUGACUUGAAGGAGAGGUUUGACAAGCAGUGGCAGAUCCAGGAAUUUAUUUCAGGGGGUUCCAAAAAGUAAAAAUAUAAAUGUGUGAAUACGUCAAUAAAAUAUAAUUUCAAGGUAUAGCAGUUGUACAUGCGUCCUUUUUUUUAUUAUAGCUGUACAGGACAGCUACUAUAGCAGCUGUGCAAAACAGAUUUUAAAAAAAGAAGCCUUCGCUGGUAGUGGGAAUUGAACCCACAACCGAGGGCUGAAGGAAAGACUCAAUAAGCGGACAUAGAACAACUGGGCUAUCCAACAACCUUGUUUUCAGGUGGUUCAAAAUUAAUAUAUAUACAUAAAUAUAGAUUUUCUACGUUAUAUAUACAACGUAAUUUUUUGCGAGGGGGUUCGGGUGAACCCCCUGGAUUCCACGUGGGUCCUCUCCUGUUGACAAGGUUGAUGGAUCCAGGAUCUUCUAUCUACAUAACGAAAUCACUACACUAAAUCAAGGUGUCAUGUCUGUGUCAAUGUAUUUCUCUCGUUUAAAGGAGUUGUGGUUGGAAUAUGAUACACUUAUGCCAUGCCCUGGAUGUACUUGUGAGGAGUCUAAAACAUAUGCUGCACACUUUCACUAUCAGAGACGGAUGCAAUUUCUUCUGGGGCUGAAUGAGUCGUACAACCAAUGUAGGAGUCAAAUUAUGAUGCUUGAUCCUCCUAGUGUGAAUAAAGCUUAUUCCCUUGUGAUGGCUGAGAAGAGUCAGAGACUGCUAGGAAAAUCUACUCUAGGAGCUGGAGGAUCUACUAAAUCCCGUGAUGCAACUGAUGCCCUGGUGUUCUUUAGGGAAUUUCACUCAAGAAAAUGCAAGUUUUAAACCUAAGAGAACAAGUCAUCUGCAUUGUGACUACUGCAAUAGAGGUGGUCACACCAGUGACACAUGUUAUGCUCUACAUGGUUAUCCCUCUGAUUGGAAAGGGAAGAAGAAAACACUCACUGGCUCAACCUCAGGAACAGGUAGUCUUGGUAGAGGUCAACAUCAAAAUGUUCAAUCCAACAAUACCACUUCUAGACCCACACAGUACAUGCAUAAACCAGGAUCUGGACAUUUUUCUUCCAACAACUCUUACAAAAAUUCUCAUGCUCUUAUGACUAAUCUGCAGUCUAACCUGUAUAUGCAGCCUCAACAGUAUAGUAUGCCUCCAUACUCAUAUGUACCUCAGCAGCAACUACCUAAUGAUGGACAAAGAUAAGGAGCAGCGUGAUAAUGGAACUACUGUGACUUCGGCAGGUAUGGUUAAGUGUCUUAACUGCUCCACAACUAAUGAUAAGUGGAUUCUUGACUCUGGAGCAUCUAAACACAUGGUUAGCACACUUAACUUCCUGCAUAAUUCACACAUACCCUGUGCAUCACAAGAAGGUCUGGUUCACUUACCUACUGGUGCUAAUGCUCAAGUUAGCCAUAUAGGAAGUUCACACAUUCUUGGAGGUCUUGAGAUCACAGAUGUCCUGCAUGUGCCUGCGUUUAAAUUCAACCUCUUGUCUGUUCCAAAACUGACAAAAGAGUUGAACUGCUGUGUUAUUUUUUAUCCUCAUUUCUGUGUCUUUCAGGACAUCUUCAGUGGGAAAGUCAAGGGGAUUGGCAAACUUGAGAAUGAUCUCUAUGUAGUGAAUGUUGAUUGCUUACUGAGGAAUCAGUCCUAUGAUGUGCAUGUACAUACAACCUCUAAUAAUGUUGCUACUACUGCUUCUGCAGCCUCUACUAGUCAAAGAAACUUAGCUCUCUGGCACAAUAGACUAGGUCAUGCUCCUCUUACCACUCUAAGAAAACUCAAUUGUUUCAAAUGUAUUUCUGCUAAGUUUGAUGGUCCUGCUAUGGACCUGUGCACUGUAUGUCCUUUGGCUAAACAAUCAAGGAAACCUUUUCCUUUGAGUACCACCACUUCAUCUGCUUGUUUUCACUUGUUACAUGCUGAUGUCUGGGGUCCCUAUAGGGUACCUACACAUGAUGGUAAAAGGUAUUUUUUAAUAUAGACAUAGUGGCUCUCAAAAACUUUCUUAUCAUGAUAAAAAAUGUGUUUGAUACUUCUAUUAAAUGUCUAAGGUCUGACAAUGGUUGUGAGUUCUUCAACACUGAAAUGACUAACUUACUUCUAUCACUUGGUAUUUCAUAUCAAAGCUCUUAUGUCUAUACACCUCAACGGAAUGGUGUUGUAGAGAGGAAGCAUAGACAUAUUCUAGACACAGCCAGGUCUCUUAGAUUCCAGUCUCAUGUACCUCUGAAGUUUGGGGGAGAAUGUGUUCUUACCAGUGUGUAUCUCAUCAAUAGAUUGCCCUUUACUGCCCUUAAGGGUAAGACUCCAUUUGAAUAUCUGUAUCAGUCUGCACCUUCUCUUGAACAUCUUAGAGUUUUUAGUUGUCUGGCUUAUGCUACUGAAGUAAAGAGAGUGGAUAAAUUUGCAUCAAGGGCCAUUCCUGCAAUAUUUCUUGGUUACUCACACCUCCAAAAAGGGUACAAACUUAUGGCCUUACACACCAGGGAGUUCUUAAUCAGCAGAGAUGUAGUGUUCAAGGAAAAUGUGUUUCCCUUUCAAAAACUGAGCUCUUCCUCACAAAUCUUCCCUCCUCCUUUGUUCCAUGAUACUACUGAGGCUCAGUCAGUGCCCUUGCUCCCUGCACCCUCCACUUCUGCCACUACUAGCUUGCUGCUCCAGGUUCAACCCUCAGCUUAGUUCAAUAUGUUCCUCUUCCUACACUGUUAUUACUGAAUCUGCUGCUCUGCCUCCUUCCCCUUCAACUAGAAGGGCUUCCACAAGACAGACUAAACCUCCUAUUUGGCCUAAGCUAACUCUGCUUGUCUAUAUCCCAUAUCUGACCAUGAGAGCUAUGCUGCACUCACUCCUUCUUACUGUGCUUGCUCUAACAGCCUACUCUUCGGUACAUGAACCUGCUUCUUUUGCUGAAGCUUCCAUGGAUCCCAAGUGGAUUGAAGCUAUGAAUUCUGAAAUGGCUGCACUUAAGGCUAAUAAUACUUGGACUAUAGUUGAUCUACCCCCUGGUAAACUUCCCAUUGGUUGUAAAUGCAUGUUCAAGGUUAAGUAUCUAGCAUCUGGUGCUGUUGAAAGAUACAAGGCACGACUUGUUGCCAAAGGAUUUAAUCAGAAAGAGGGACUAGACGACUCAGACACCUUCUCACCAGUGGCUAAAAUGGUCACAGUGAGAUCAGUUGUUGCUGUUGCUGUAGUUAAACACUAGCCAGUGAUUCAGAUGGGUGUUCACAAUGCCUUUCUGCAUGGUGACCUCAUUGAAGAUGUGUAUAUGGUUCUUCCUCCUGUUUUUUGCAAACAAGGGGAGGUUGGUAAGGUCUGCAAACUGCAAAAAUCUCUGUAUGGGCUUAAGCAAGCCCCAAGGCAAUGUAACUUUAAACUAACAGAAGCUCUUAUUCAGCUUGGGUUUGUACAAAGUCAUUAUGACUACUCUCUAUAUACAAGGACAGCAUGGAAGGAUCUAGUCGUAGUUCUAGUCUAUGUUGAUGAUCUGUUGAUAAUUGGCAGCUGUAGCAGACUGAUUGAUCAAACCAGAAGUGAUCUCAAGCUUAAGUUCAAGAUGAAACACUUAGGCCUUUUAAAAAUCUUUGUUGGCAUUGAAUUUGCCAGAACCAAGGAGGGGAUUGUCAUGAGCCAAAGAAAAUAUGCUUUAGAACUCAUUUCUGAGCUACGACUGAGUGGAGCUAAGCCAGUGUAUGCACCACUUAAUCCAAGUUUAAGAUUGACCUCAAUUGACUAUGACUCACAUGUAAACAACUCAGGGGAAGAUCCAGUGGACAGUCCACUGAAAGACAUUGGUAAAUAUCAAAGGCUAGUUGGAAGGUUGUUGUAUUUGACAAUGACAAGAGUGGACAUCUCAUUUGUUGUACAAGUUUUGAGCCAGUUUAUGCAUACACCAAAAGAGUCAUAUGGAAGCUGCUAUCAGAGUAGUGAAAUAUGUUAAGACUUCACCAGGUCUUGGCUUGUUCAUGCCAUCUCAAGGAUCAGAUACUUUGACAGCAUUCUGUGACUCAGGGGGAACUUGUCUACAAACUAGAAGGUCUGUGACUAGGUACUUGGUUAAAUUUGGGGCUGCCUUGGUGUCUUGGAAGUCAAAGAAACAAGGGACAGUAGCUAGGAGCUCAGCUGAAAGCAGAAUUCAGAAGUAUGGCAUCAACUGUGGCUGAAAUUACUUGGCUUAUAGGCCUGUACAAGGAGUUGGGUGUUAAGAUUCAUCAACCAGUAAACUUGCUGUGUGACAGCAAAGCUGCACUACAAAUUGCUGCCAACCCCAUCUUUCACGAGAGGACAAAACACUUUGACAUUGAUUGUCACUUUGUCAAGGAGAAACUGGUGCAAAAAAUGAUUCAAACUCAUCAUGUAUCAACUAAGGAACAACUAGUUGACUUGUUUACUAACAGCCUAGGCAAGACUCAACAUACUCAUCUUUUAUCCAAGCUGGGAGUGAAGCAUCUGUUUCACUCAUCAGCUUGAGGAGGGGUGUUCAACACUAUUAGUGAAAGAGUUAGUUACACAAGUAAGUUACAGAGUUGUUGGUGCAAGUUUGUUACAAUGUACAGUGCAAGGCACGUAUAGUCUAGUUGGUUAGUUAGGUAACUUAAUUAGAUGAGUUAGUUAGCUUGGAUGAUAGGUCCCUCUAUAAAUAGAGGUGUAAAUAGUGUGUGA